rnacentral:rRNA from 1 species
UACAGAGGUGGCAAGCGUUGUUCGGAAUUACUGGGCGUAAAGGGCGCGUAGGCGGCCAUCUAAGUCAGACGUGAAAUCCCCCGGCUUAACUGGGGAACUGCGUCUGAUACUGGCGAGCUUGAGUGCAGGAGAGGGAUGCGGAAUUCCAGGUGUAGCGGUGAAAUGCGUAGAUAUCUGGAGGAACACCGGUGGCGAAGGCGGCAUCCUGGACCAACACUGACGCUGAUGAGCGAAAGCCAGGGGAGCAAACGGG